UACGUAGGGUGCGAGCGUUGUCCGGAAUUAUUGGGCGUAAAGGGCUCGUAGGCGGUCUGUUGCGUCAGGAGUGAAAACUCGGGGCUUAACCCCGAGCCUGCUUCUGAUACGGGCAGACUAGAGGUAUGCAGGGGAGAACGGAAUUCCUGGUGUAGCGGUGAAAUGCGCAGAUAUCAAGAGGAACACCUGAGGUGAAGACGGGUUGCUGGGCUGACACUGACGCUGAGGCGCGAAAGCUAGGGUAGCAAACGGG
rnacentral:rRNA from 1 species